UUGCUUCGGCAGCACAUAUACUAAAAUUGGAAUGAUACAGAGAAGUUUAGCAUGGUCCCUGUGCAAGGAUGACACACAAAAUUCUUCAGGGUUUUAACUUUAAA
ensembl:snRNA U6 U6 spliceosomal RNA